UACAGAGGGGGCAAGCGCUGUUCGGAAUUACUGGGCGUAAAGGGCGCGUAGGCGGCCUGCUAAGUCGAACGUGAAAUCCCUGGGCUCAACCCAGGAACUGCGUCCGAUACUGGCAGGCUUGAAUCCGGGAGAGGGAUGCGGAAUUCCAGGUGUAGCGGUGAAAUGCGUAGAUAUCUGGAGGAACACCGGUGGCGAAGGCGGCAUCCUGGACCGGCAUUGACGCUGAGGCGCGAAAGCCAGGGGAGCAAACGGG
rnacentral:rRNA from 1 species